CGUGCACACCUUCAGUUUGUAAUUUUAUGUGAACUGAAAUAACAAAUAAGAUAAGGAAAUUUUGUGUUAUCUAUGUGACAACGCAUGUAGUUGAAUAAAAUCCUCGAAUAAAACCUAGAAUUUCAAAUGAACCUAACUCGAAUACAGAAUCUUUUGUUGUUUGUUGUUUUGUUGCCUUUAUUGGUCUAUUCAGCGCAACUAUGUUACCAGUGCGUAUCAGCAAUGGAUCCGGAGUGCGAAGACGAAGACACAUUAAAAGAAAAUUUCCCCAAUCAAUGUUUUACUCGUGAUCCUGCGGCAAAAUGUGUCGUGUAUGAAUAUGAAGCCACUGGAGAAAAGGCGAUACACAUUGUACGAGGAUGUAGAAAUUUUACAGAUAGCUGCGGUAAUAUUAAUAACUCUUUGAAAAUACAACACAAAAAAGUGAAGGGCUGUAGUUUUUGUGGCACUGAUUUAUGUAACAAGUACAUCCUACCAAAGUCUAGCAAAAACGAUAAGAUCCCAAAACACACUAAUAAUGGUUCAAAUUUUGGGUUCAUAUUUAGUGGACCUUUUUUCUUUUCUAUUGUUCCAAAAUGUAUAGUGAGGCUUCUCUUUGUUCUGUAACUUGUCUAAACUGAACGCUCGCACAUUUCUUGGUUUAUUAUACAAGUAAAGAAAAGUUGUUCAUUAUCUGUGAGUGAUCUGAAGGAAAUCACGAACAGAUAUUGCCAACUUUUCUUUACGUGUAUAAUACGUUUUCUCUUAUAGGUACAUCGAGAAAUUUUUGUUAAUUUUUUUCACCGAUAGAAUAAAAAAAUCACCAAAUGGCUACUUUAUUCUACUGAAUUUUUCUUGUAUGGCUUUAAUUGAAGAAAUUUAUGUAACUAGGUGUAUUGCUCACCCCAAUUUGUCAAUUUUCCCUUUUAAGGCAAUAUGAACUACUUUUAUAUCCGCUUUUGAUACUGACAAUUGUUUAUAAAAAAACAGACCAUAACUAAAUGAAAUAAUGUACCAUAGUUGCCACAAUAACGGUGUACUAUCUCUUCUCGAAUCUAUGGAAUAAGCAACAACAUUAUUAUUACCUAUAUGAGAAAAAAUAAUAAACCACUAAUAAUAAUACCGUUUAUUUACAGAAUUACAGAAUUAAUUGUAUUGGUGUUGUAUUAAAUUUUCUAAGAGUAAA